AGAUACCCUAUUAUUAAAAUUAAAUAAUCAAAAUACUUAAGUAGUAUUAGUUAUAUUCUUAAAAUUUAAAGAAUUUGGCGGUGUUUUAGUCUAUUUAGAGGAAUCUGUUCUGUUAUUGAUAAUCCACGUUGGACCUUACUUAAAUUUGUAAUCAAUUUGUAUAUCGUCGUCAUCAGAAUAUAUUAUAAGAUUAAUAAUUUUCUAAAUAUUUUAUUAAAUAAUAUGUCAGGUCAAGGUGCAGUUUUUGUUUAAGUAGAAAUGGAUUACAAUAAAUUUAUUUAUACGGAUAAUUUUUUGAAAUAAAAGUUUGAAGGUGGAUUUAAUAGUAAUAUAAAAUAGAUUAUUUAUAUGAUUAUAGCUCUAAAACAUGCACACAUCGCCCGUCGCUCUCAUUUUUAAAAUGAGAUAAGUCGUAACAUAGUAGAUGUACUGGAAAGUGUAUCUAGAAU
rnacentral:rRNA from 1 species